rnacentral:lncRNA from 1 species
GUGCCAGCCAACUGUGGCUGCCUGGGACACUCCAUCUUAAGUCCCUGUGCCUCUGCUGUGUGUUACUGAGUGCCUAGGCCGUGCCAGCCUGUAUUCAUCUGUACUAUGACCUGAAGAGGCAGAGGCCAUCACUGUUGGUCCGGUCUCCACCUGGGGAAACUGAGGUUGCACAGUGUCUCUGUGGUGACGAGCAGGGCUUCAUCCAGUGCCUCUGUCCCCACCGAGGGGACUAUGGGAGACAUGGAGGGUGUGUGAGCAACAGGUGAGACUGGAGCCAGCUGAAAACUGGGAGACCGACCCAGCCAACAAACAAUGUCGGUCUCUGUCUUGGCACCUGCAGGAAACAAGCUCCUACUUCCAGAAAAAGUGCUCCUGGGACUCCAGGAUACCAGGCAUCUGGACGCGGUGGUACAUGCCUGUAAUCCCAACACUUAGGCAGGAGGAUCACUCGAGCCCAGAAGAUCAAGACUAGUGUGAGCAACAAAAUCCUUCCCUGGCACCGGUUCCAGGAGGACCUCGUUCUUAGGCAGCAUCUGUGUCUCUGUUUUGUAAGACACACAGAG